GGUUACGGCCCAUAUCCUGGUGAAAAUACGGCUUUCCGCUCCGAUCAGGCCAUAGUCAAGCACCAGAGAGGCCUAGUCAGUAUUUUAGUGGGGGAGAACCAUUACGAGAAUCCUGGGUUGCUGUAAUC
rnacentral:rRNA from 1 species